CCCGCACAAGCGGUGGAGUAUGUGGUUUAAUUCGAUGCAACGCGAAGAACCUUACCUGGUCUUGACAUCCCGGAGACCCUUAGGAAACUAGGGGGUGCUUCCAUCUGGAAGAAUCUGGAGACAGGUGCUGCAUGGCUGUCGUCAGCUCGUGUCGUGAGAUGUUGGGUUAAGUCCCGCAACGAGCGCAACCCUUGCCUUUAGUUGCCAGCAGUUCGGCUGGGCACUCUAAAGGGACUGCCGGUGUUAAACCGGAGGAAGGUGGGGAUGACGUCAAGUCCUCAUGGCCUUUAUGACCAGGGCUACACACGUACUACAAUGGCCGAUACAAAGGGCAGCGACACUGCGAGGUGAAGCCAAUCCCGUAAAAUCGGUCUCAGUCCGGAUUGGAGUCUGCAACUCGACUCCAUGAAGUUGGAAUCGCUAGUAAUCGCGCAUCAGCCAUGGCGCGGUGAAUACGUUCCCGGGCCUU
rnacentral:rRNA from 1 species